CUUUGUUUGUUCAUUAAAUGUUGCUGAUAGGGGGGUUUCAACAGUUGACUGCUUAUACCCCCAAUAUCCUGUUGAAGGAAAAAAACAAGUAUGGGAACUUCCUGUUAUGUUAACAAUUGCAAUAGAAACCAGCUCCAAAUAAGGGCAAAAUGGCAUUCCUCCUUGCAUGGGAACACACACGCCGCAGCAAAGUCAUGACCCCAACGCAGAGGAAGACGACGAUCUUCAUCCCCACGACCACCAGAGGACUGAUGAAGACCCCCUAGCAACAGGCCGUGCAGUCGUAGAAGACACCAGGAUGUGCUGCUAAACCCGGAACUACUAGGCUAUAAAUCAAGGCUCUGGCGGGCUUAGGUGUGCGCCGUUGGCGGAGCAGGAGUCUCCCCGGCCGCCCAGCGCUGUUUACUUAUUGCUGCUUGCUGAAUUGCUCAAAUAAAUUGAAAUUCGAUCUACCCUACCCACGAUAUGUCGGGAAUGAUUUCUACCAAAACUAAUUUAUAACAAAUUGGUGCCGUGACUCGGAUAGUGGUAGCUUGGCUGGAUCCCUCCCAGGGGAGGCGCGCCCCGCUGAUUCUGCGGUCCCUGUCUGGAGGUCCGUAAGCCAACGCACCCCUACCGACGAACCUAAAGUUCCAGCGAUAAGUAAAUAAACAACCAGUAACCCCUUAAUCUUUGUGCACGAAGCUCCUAACGAAGACUCAGGAGUGAACACAGCUGUCUGGACAGCCGAGAAAGGAUGGACUCACGCCAGCCGAGUUAAAGGACCAAUACCGGAGGAACGGUGGAGAGUGACCAGCCAACCCGGAGACUUGAGGCUGACCAUGCGAAAAGGGACUGAUGAGUGAAUUCGUAAUCGUAUGAUCGGUAACCUUCUCUAAGGAAUAAUAGGUUCACUGUAAACGAAACCGGGAAGUAGGGGAAGGGAAAUUCUUUAAUGUACCCAGACCCAUACAUCAGAAGGGUAACGCGCCUAAGGAGGAGUGAGUAACUGGGACUGGGAGUGGCUGGAAGAGGGAAAUCGGUACCUAGGCCCCUGAAGAUUACCCUUGCUGCCGUGAAGAAAGUGAACCCUGCUGCUUGAGGCAACCAAGUAGGCGGGCGAGGCAGAGGAGUACAACAGUGGGGAGAGUUAUUUGGUACCCACCCCUAUUUGAGAUGAUGGAGUCCGGCCGAAUAAACCGCCCUAGUACCCACCAUAACUCGAAGCCGCCUCCCCAGAAUUAUAAAAGGACGUUGCCCUUCUGGUGUAUGUUGGCACUACCUCUCCUAUUGACUAUCCCCUGUCCGGCUGGGGCCGACCAGGGAUAUUCGCACCAGCCCUUUAAGUGGAGUUUAAUUAGGUGGGAGGACCAAGUUAUCAUUAACCAAGUAACUACGGCAGGUGCACCAAGUUUUCUCACAUCCCUUUGUCAACUGGCACCCAUAAGCCCGUGUCUGAACCAAAUAGGUUUCUACCUCUGCCCCAGCUCGAACCCAGGAAGGGGCCCUGUGGAAAUUGAUGCAAGUAAGCUACCAGCUGUUAAAUGCUACCAACCCUAACCUGACUGAGCGGUGCUGGCUUUGUUAUGGGGUAAGGCCGCCCUUUUACGAAGCUGUGGGGGUCAAUGAGAAGGCCCGAUGGGUAAAUGGAUCCAAUCCCUCACAAUGUACGUGGGGGAAAGAGGGUCAGGGCAUAACGCUGACCCAAGUGACUGGGAAGGGGAGAUGCGUGGGACAAGUCCCACCCGAUAAAAUGCACUUGUGUGCAAAUCAAACUAACAUCGGAAGUAUAAAGAAA